GAUGAAGAACGUAGCGAAAUGCGAUAAGUAAUGUGAAUUGCAGAACUCAGUGAAUCAUCGAAUCUUUGAACGCACAUUGCGCCCCCUGGUAUUCCGGGGGGCAUGCCUGUUCGAGCGUCAUUUCACCACUCAAGCCUCGCUUGGUAUUGGGCAACGCGGUCCGCCGCGUGCCUCAAAUCGACCGGCUGGGUCUUCUGUCCCCUAAGCGUUGUGGAAACUAUUCGCUAAAGGGUGUUCGGGAGGCUACGCCGUAAAACAACCCCAUUUCUAAGGUUGACCUCGGAUCAGGUAGGGAUACCCGCUGAACUUAAGCAUAUCAAUAGCGGAGGA
rnacentral:misc_RNA from 1 species